rnacentral:rRNA from 1 species
AACGCUAGCUACAGGCUUAACACAUGCAAGUCGAGGGGCAGCAUUGGAGUAGCAAUACUUCAGAUGGCGACCGGCGCACGGGUGAGUAACACGUAUCCAACCUGCCGCUUACUCGGGGAUAGCCUUUCGAAAGAAAGAUUAAUACCCGAUGGUUUCAAGAGUUUGCAUGAAAACUUGAAUAAAGAUUCAUUGGUAUGCGAUGGGGAUGCGUUCCAUUAGGUAGUAGGCGGGGUAACGGCCCACCUAGCCAACGAUGGAUAGAGGUUCUGAGAGGAAGGUCCCCCACAUUGGAACUGAGACACGGUCCAAACUCCUACGGGAGGCAGCAGUGAGGAAUAUUGGUCAAUGGGCGCGAGCCUGAACCAGCCAAGUAGCGUGAAGGAUGAAGGUCCUAUGGAUUGUAAACUUCUUUUAUACGGGAAUAAAGUGGCCUACGCGUAGGCUUUUGCAUGUACCGUAUGAAUAAGCAUCGGCUAACUCCGUGCCAGCAGCCGCGGUAAUACGGAGGAUGCGAGCGUUAUCCGGAUUUGUUGGGUUUAAAGGGAGCGCAGACGGGGGAUUAAGUCAGCUGUGAAAGUUUGAGGCUCAACCUUAAAAUUGCAGUUGAUACUGGCGUCCUUGAGUACGGUUGAGGCAGGCGGAAUUCGUGGUGUAGCGGUGAAAUGCAUAGAUAUCACGAAGAACUCCGAUUG